UCUAUUUUGAAUACACCAUAGUGGGUGUAUUCCCAUUCUUGGGGACAUAUCGGGUGGGUGUGUUUGCUGUGUAUAUUGACAACAUGCAAGUUUUAGGGAAACCUAAAGUGAGAUCAGUCUCCUCC